AAUGGUUAAAACGGGUUAAUUAGUAAAAGUUGUUAAUGUUUAUAAAAGCAUGAAAUAGUGAGAAUUUGAGGUUUCCAUAGAAGAGAAAAAUGUUCAGCAUGUCUUCAAUCUUAUAGAAAUCUAAUAAAUUUCAAUUUUGGAGCCUUGGAGUAAAUUCGUAAUUAUGCAAAAGUUUAAGGGCAAAAAUGUGAAUUUUGCCAAAAUAUGUUUUAGGUCUGAAAUGAUUAGUACAUUAAUUAAAUGAGUGAUUUUUAUUAUUUUAGAUCAAGAAAAUUGAGAUUUGGGCUUAAAUCGAGAAAGUGCGUGGUUAAAGAUAAAAAGAGAAUAAUUACCCGAAAUUUCAUUUGAGGUAAGUCCGUGUGAUUUAAUGAGCAUGAUAUUUAUGCUAUUGUUAUUAUACUUGAAAAUCUAUCUUGUCAUGAUUGUAUUAAAGUUUAUGUUGAUGAUAUUGUAUAGGAGAAAGUGAUGUCAAAUGUAAAUGAUAUUUAUGUGUUGAUUGAAUAUGCUUGGAGAUUUGAUGGAAUAUGAUAUUCCAUUGAAACGAGUAAGUUGUAU
rnacentral:lncRNA from 1 species